rnacentral:tRNA from 2 species
GGGAGUGUCGGUUAAUGGUUAAACCACUGGUCUCCAAAACCAGGACUGGGGGUUCGAAUCCUCCCACUCCCG